AACGAACGCUGGCGGCGUGUUUAAGACAUGCAAGUCGCACGGGAUAAGACAUGUAGUAAUACUUGUUUUAUUUAGUGGCGCACGGGUGAGUAACACGUGAAUUACAUGCCCUAUAGUGGGGAAUAGCCCAGGGAAACUUGGAUUAAUACCCCAUGGUAUCGAAAGAUUAAAGGUGGCCGCAAGGCUGUCGCUAUAGGAUUGGUUCGCGCCCUAUCAGCUUGUUGGUGAGGUAACGGCUCAACAAGGCAAUGACGGGUACCUGGUCUGAGAGGACGAUCAGGCACACUGGAACUGAGACACGGUCCAGACACCUACGGGUGGCAGCAGUCGAGGAUAAUUCACAAUGGGGGCAACCCUGAUGGUGCAACGCCGCGUGGAGGAUGACGGUCUUCGGAUUGUAAACUCCUGUCAUCUGGGAGAAAGACCUGACGGUAAAUAGCCGGCAGGGUUGAUAGUACCAGAAGAGGAAGGGACGGCUAACUUCGUGCCAGCAGCCGCGGUAA
rnacentral:rRNA from 1 species